UAGGUGGCGAGCGUUGUCCGGAUUUACUGGGUGUAAAGGGCGUGUAGCCGGGUCGGCAAGUCAGAUGUGAAAUCCAUGGGCUCAACCCAUGAACUGCAUUUGAAACUGCUGAUCUUGAGUACUGGAGAGGCAGACGGAAUUCCUAGUGUAGCGGUGAAAUGCGUAGAUAUUAGGAGGAACACCAGUGGCGAAGGCGGUCUGCUGGACAGCAACUGACGGUGAGGCGCGAAAGCGUGGGGAGCAAA
rnacentral:rRNA from 1 species